rnacentral:rRNA from 1 species
GUGACUAACCUACCCUGGAGUGGGGGAUAACUGAGGGAAACCUUAGCUAAUACCGCAUAAUACCUACGGGUCAAAGGAGCAAUUCGCUUCAGGAGGGGGUCGCGGCCGAUUAGUUAGUUGGCGGGGUAAUGGCCCACCAAGACAGUGAUCGGUAUCCGGCCUGAGAGGGCGCACGGACACACUGGAACUGAAACACGGUCCAGACUCCUACGGGAGGCAGCAGUGGGGAAUUUUGCGCAAUGGGGGAAACCCUGACGCAGCAACGCCGCGUGGAGGAUGAAGUCCUUCGGGACGUAAACUCCUUUCGAUCGGGACGAUUAUGACGGUACCGGAAGAAGAAGCCCCGGCUAACUUCGUGCCAGCAGCCGCGGUAAUACGAGGGGGGCGAGCGUUGUUCGGAAUUAUUGGGCGUAAAGGGUGCGUAGGCGGUUUUGUAAGUCUUAUGUGAAAUCUAUGGGCUCAACUCAUAGACUGCAUGAGAAACUGCAGGGCUUGAGUAUGGGAGAGGUGAGUGGAAUU